rnacentral:tRNA from 2 species
UCCACAGUAGCUCAGUGGCAGAGCAAUCGGCUGUUAACCGAUUGGUCGUAGGUUCGAACCCUACCUGUGGAGCCA